rnacentral:rRNA from 1 species
UAUAGCAGCCAUAUCACCCUACAGCCCAAGACUGGUUGCCCACUGAAGCUAAAACAGGGUUGAGCCUGGUCAGUACCUGGAUGGGAGACCUCCUGGGAAAACUAGGUUGCUGCUGGAA